AUGCUUAACCAACUGAGCUACCCAGGCAUCCCCAAAAAUUCAUUUAAAUAACAAUCAGAAGUAGUUAUUACCUGGAAUUUAAGCUCAUCACUAUUGCUACUUAUGGAAUCAAUGAAAACAUUGUAAAUCAUUAAAGUAUUACUAAAACAUUAAUUUAAAAAAUAAAUUUUUUUAUAGAUUUAUGCUAUGAUUUUUUAUACAUUUACAUGUUAUAAAUAAGACAUGUAAGAUAAGUCAUUUGGCUCUGGAUAUGUUGAGGCACUGAUUAUUUUUAUAAACAAGCUUGUUGUGUAUCUAGAGAGCAAAGGCAGAAGUGGUUUGCAAAGGUCUGAAGAAUUUCUCCUUUCAGGCUGCCAACGCCUUGUUGGCUUUGUAGGAGGAGGAGGAGGACACCCCCUGCCCCACGUUCAUGUUCAUGUUCAUGUUCCUGACACAUCCGCCCAGACCUCAGAAAACAGCAAUGGAAAUGAGACAUCCUUUUCCUCUGCUAAAGUGAGGAGUGUUCAGAGAAAGAGUCUACAGAGGGACGGCAUCAGAACUCAGGUCUUCAUGAUAGAGUAACUCAACUUGGCUCCAACGGGGGAUGAAGUUGGGUUGGUGUAACUUCGAAGGGGAGCCCUCUCUGUACAACCAUCCAUUUAUAACACAGAGGAAAUGCUAACAAAUUCUAAUCUGGAAAUGCGGAGUUCCUUUUAAAUAAAAAUCUAGAGGUAG